UCUAAUGUGGCAGAUUAGUGCGAUGGUCUUAAGAUCCAUUCAUAAAGCAUAUGGCUUUUUUUAGAA
rnacentral:tRNA from 2 species